rnacentral:lncRNA from 1 species
CGAUCCAUGGCGUAAGGCGUACGCGUGGGAGAAGGCGAGAAACGUGGGAAAUCCAGAAGCAUCGAGGCAAGGACGAUCUAAGAAGGCUUGUAAAACAGGCGAACCGAUCCAAAUUUGGGUUCCCGGAUACGUUGACUAUCCGGUUUGUAAGUUUCCACUGCCCUAUAAUUUCCAACAGUAAACAACUUUUAAACAUCUAUUAUAUUCUGUUUUCUUAUUUUAAUAAUUUAUAAGUACUAAUUGAAGCUGUAUGGAGGCAAAAUUAGAUUUGGAGUGGGAUUAAUAAAAUGUUAGGGAAU